rnacentral:rRNA from 1 species
CAGUAGCCGCGGUAAUACGGAGGGAGCUAGCGUUGUUCGGAAUUACUGGGCGUAAAGCGCGCGUAGGCGGUUACUCAAGUCAGAGGUGAAAGCCCGGGGCUCAACCCCGGAACUGCCUUUGAAACUAGGUGACUAGAAUCUUGGAGAGGUCAGUGGAAUUCCGAGUGUAGAGGUGAAAUUCGUAGAUAUUCGGAAGAACACCAGUGGCGAAGGCGGCUCACUGGACCGGCAUUGACGCUGAGGUGCGAAAGCGUGGGGAGCAAACAGGAUUAGAUACCCCAGUAGUCCCUGUCUCUUAUAC